CAUUGUAGGACAUUCGUCGGCAACCAUUUAGUCAUGUUUGCUAACAUGACCGUCCAAGUUAUCAAUUAUGUCAGGUUACAUUAAGGAAGCUGGCAUGAGCAUGCCAUCAAAGUUGUUGACAUGUUUGUCAUCUUGGAUGAUCAUGUUGGCAACCAUGUUGAUGUGGUAGAUCAUGUGCUGCGUAUG
rnacentral:pre_miRNA from 1 species